UACGUAGGGUCCGAGCGUUGUCCGGAAUUAUUGGGCGUAAAGGGCUCGUAGGCGGUUUGUCGCGUCGGGAGUGAAAACUCAGGGCUCAACCCUGAGCGUGCUUCCGAUACGGGCAGACUAGAGGUAUGCAGGGGAGAACGGAAUUCCUGGUGUAGCGGUGGAGUGCGCAGAUAUCAGGAGGAACACCGGUGGCGAAGGCGGUUCUCUGGGCAUUACCUGACGCUGAGGAGCGAAAGCAUGGGGAGCGAACAGG
rnacentral:rRNA from 1 species